rnacentral:rRNA from 1 species
UACAGAGGUUCCAAGCGUUGUUCGGAUUCAUUGGGCGUAAAGGGUGCGUAGGUGGCGCUGUAAGUGGGGUGUGAAAUCCCGGGGCUUAACCCCGGGACUGCAUUUCAUACUGCAGUGCUUGAGGACUGGAGAGGAGACUGGAAUUUACGGUGUAGCAGUGAAAUGCGUAGAGAUCGUAAGGAAGACCAGUGGCGAAGGCAGGUCUCUGGACAGUUCCUGACACUGAGGCACGAAGGCCAGGGGAGCAAACGGG